UACGGGGGGAGCAAGCGUUGUUCGGAUUUACUGGGCGUAAAGAGCUCGUAGGCGGUCUGUCGCGUCGGCUGUGAAAUCCCGAGGCUCAACCUCGGGUCUGCAGUCGAUACGGGCAAACUAGAGUAUUGCAGGGGAGACUGGAAUUCCUGGUGUAGCGGUGAAAUGCGCAGAUAUCAGGAGGAACACCGGUGGCGAAGGCGGGUCUCUGGGCAAUAACUGACGCUGAGGAGCGAAAGCGUGGGGAGCGAACAGG
rnacentral:rRNA from 1 species